ensembl:misc_RNA Metazoa_SRP Metazoan signal recognition particle RNA
GCUGGGUGCGGUGGCUCACGCCUGUAAUCCCAGAACUUUGGGAGGCCGAGGCGGGUGGAUCACCUGAGGUCAGGAGUUCGAGACCAGCCUGACCAACAUGGUGAAACCCCCUCUCUAUUAAAAAUACAAAAAACUAGCUGGGGCCAGGCGCGGUGUAAUCGCAGUACUUUGGGAGGCCAAGCUGGGUGGAUCACUUGAGGUCAGGAGUUUAAGACUGGCCUGGCCAAAAUGGUGAAACCCUGUGUCU